GUGGAAUCCUGCUCGUCCACGGCGCAAGGAGGAAGAGGAGCAGCGCCCGCCAGGUGGGGCCCGGGUGUCAGCGGUCCAUGGAGAGAAGAUGGGAGCCAGCACGCCUGCGCUGCUGGGCUGGGCUGAGGACAAGAGGGGGAGAGGGGGUACUGGGCCAGUGAAGAAAGGGAAAGGAGGGAAGGAGUGGGCCUUCAAGCCAGAUUUAGGGAGAAUGGGCCGCGGGGGAGAAAGUCAGGCCGUCGGGCCGAGAGAGAGAAGGGAGAGGUUUUACUUUUCUUUCAUUUUUUUUUAUUUCAAAAGCCAUUUGAAAUUCAUUUAAAAAUCCUUUUGAAUCAUUUUGAAUUUUGAGCUUAAAUACACUCAUCACAGUAAAUAAAAUGCCAUGACACGUAUGCUCAAACAUGUUUCUAUGUCCUAUGAUGAAUUUUAAUUUAACGAAAAAUAUUAUCUCUCUAUAUUUCAUGAACAAAAAUACAAAAUUAAAUCAUUUUCACUCUAUUUCCCAGAAAAAAAAUUUUAGGGUGU
rnacentral:lncRNA from 1 species